AUUGCACGCUGGCGGCAGGCUUAACACAUGCAAGUCGAGUGAGCGGCGGACGGGUGAGUAAUGUCUGGGACACUGCCUGAUGGAGGGGGAUAACUACUGGAAACAGUCGCUAAUACCGCAUACCAUCAGAUGUGCCGAGAUGGGAUUAGCGAGUAGGUGGGGUAAUCGCUCACCUAGGCGACGAUCCCUAGCUGGUCUGAGAGGAUGACCAGGCACACGGGAAAUGUGAAAAGGUCCAAACUCCUACGGGAGGCAGCAGGGGGGAAUGUUGAACAAUGGGCGCAAGCCUGAUGCAGCCAUGCCGCGUCGGGUAAGAGGGCAUUAGGGUUGUAAAGCACUUUCAGCGAGUAGGCGUUACUCGCUGAAGAAGCACCGGCUAACUCCGUGCCAGCAGCCGCGGUAAUAC
rnacentral:rRNA from 1 species